rnacentral:rRNA from 1 species
CAAUAGCGUAUAUUAAAGUUGUUGCGGUUAAAAAGCUCGUAGUUGGAUUUCUGCCGAGGACGACCGGUCCGCCCUCUGGGUGAGUAUCUGGCUCGGCCUGGGCAUCUUCUUGGAGAACGUAGCUGCACUUGACUGUGUGGUGCGGUAUCCAGGACUUUUACUUUGAGGAAAUUAGAGUGUUUCAAGCAGGCUUACGCCUUGAAUACAUUAGCAUGGAAUAAUAAGAUAGGACCUCGGUUCUAUUUUGUUGGUUUCUAGAGCUGAGGUAAUGAUUAAUAGGGAUAGUUGGGGGCAUUCGUAUUUAACUGUCAGAGGUGAAAUUCUUGGAUUUAUGAAAGAUGAACAACUGCGAAAGCAUUUACCAAGGAUGUUUUCAUUAA